CUCCUUGAUGAAGUGGGCCUGGCGUGAAGUUGUGUCCCCCUCGCUGGUGUCAGGCAAUGGAGAGGCUCAGAUCUGCAGGGAAGACCCGGGACUUGGAGGCUGGCAGGGAGCAGGGCUGGGGAAGCUCCUCCUCACUCACUCGUGGGCACGUCCGGAAGAGUGGCAGAACAUCUGGGAAGGAUGGAACCUGGACACGUGGAUUUCCCUGCCUCCAGGCUGCUGAAUUCUGUCUUGAGUUCACACGAAAGGUGGCCUUGCUUCUAGAACUGUGGCAACUUCAUGCAAGUCAGAUCUAAGUGCUCCUUCCACAAGACACACCACUUCCACCCAGCAGAAAACCGAGCAAAGAUGCGGAUGGACAAGGUCUGUGCUGAGGGUAGCGCUCCCGGGGCGCAGCCCACUCCUGGGAAGCAAAAAGCAUGCUGAUGUGGGGCGCAGCUUCCACCGAAAUCCAGGCAAACGCUGAACCUGGAGUGUUUCUCUUUAGGUUGUAUCAAUAAUUUCAUAAAGGAACCGAGGGGAGGAGUUGCUACGGAUUGAAUGUCCAUGUUUCCCCGGAAUUCAUGUACGGAAACUCUCACCUCCAAUGUGAUGGUUUUAGGA
rnacentral:lncRNA from 13 species